rnacentral:rRNA from 1 species
UCGAACGAUGAUGCCCAGCUUGCUGGGCGGAUUAGUGGCGAACGGGUGAGUAAUACGUGAGUAACCUGCCCUUGACUCUGGGAUAAGCCUGGGAAACUGGGUCUAAUACUGGAUACUACCUCUUGCCGCAUGGUGGGUGGUGGAAAGGGUUUUACUGGUUUUGGAUGGGCUCACGGCCUAUCAGCUUGUUGGUGGGGUAAUGGCUCACCAAGGCGACGACGGGUAGCCGGCCUGAGAGGGUGACCGGCCACACUGGGACUGAGACACGGCCCAGACUCCUACGGGAGGCAGCAGUGGGGAAUAUUGCACAAUGGGCGGAAGCCUGAUGCAGCGACGCCGCGUGAGGGAUGACGGCCUUCGGGUUGUAAACCUCUUUCAGUAGGGAAGAAGCGAGAGUGACGGUACCUGCAGAAGAAGCGCCGGCUAACUACGUGCCAGCAGCCGCGGUAAUACGUAGGGCGCAAGCGUUGUCCGGAAUUAUUGGGCGUAAAGAGCUCGUAGGCGGUUUGUCGCGUCUGCUGUGAAAGCCCGGGGCUCAACCCCGGGUCUGCAGUGGGUACGGGCAGACUAGAGUGCAGUAGGGGAGACUGGAAUUCCUGGUGUAGCGGUGAAAUGCGCAGAUAUCAGGAGGAACACCGAUGGCGAANGGCAGGUCUCUGGGCUGUUACUGACGCUGAGGAGCGAAAGCAUGGGGAGCGAACAGGAUUAGAUACCCUGGUAGUCCAUGCCGUAACGUUGGGCACUAGGUGUGGGGGACAUUCCACGUUUUCCGCGCCGUAGCUAACGCAUUAGUGCCCCGCCUGGGGGAGUACGGCCGCAAGGCUAAAACUCAAAGGAAUUGGACGGGGGCCCGCCACAAGCCGCCG